GACGAACGCUGGCGGCGUGCUUAACACAUGCAAGUCGAACGGACAGGCCCUGCUUUUGUUGGUUUCUCGAUUGGCGAACGGGUGUGUAACACGUGUGUAACCUGCCCUUUACUUUUUGAUAACUUCAGGAAACUGGGGCUCUUACCCCAUAUGAGCUCCUGCUCCAUGUUGUUGGUUGGAAAGUGUCGGCCGUUGUGGAUGUACUCGCUGCUUAUCAGCUUGUUGGUGUGGUAGUGGCUGACCAAGGCUUUGACGGGUAGCCGUCCUGAGCGCGUGACCGGGCACAAUGGGACUGAGAGACGGCGCAGACUGCUACGGGAGGCAGUAGUGGGGAAUAUUGCAGAAUGGGCGGAAGUCUGAUGCAGCAACGCCGCGUGCGGGAUGAUGGCUUUCGAGUUGUAAACCGAUUUCGCAGGUGACGAAGAGUGAGUGACGGUAAUGGGUAAAGAAGCAACGGCUAACUACGUG
rnacentral:rRNA from 1 species